AGUGAACGCUGGCGGUAGGCCUAACACAUGCAAGUCGAACGGCAGCACAGUAAGAGCUUGCUCUUACGGGCGGCGAGUGGCGGACGGGUGCCGAAUACAUCGGAAUCUACUUUUUAGGGGGGGCUAACGUAGGGAAACUUACGCUAAUACCGCAUACAACCUCCUUGUGAAAGCAGGGGAUCUUCUGACCUUUCGCUAUUGAAUGAGCCUAGGUCGGCUUCGCUCGUUAGCGGGUCAGAGGCCCAGCUAGGCCACAAUCCGUAUCUGGUCUGAGAGGAUGAUCAGCCACACUGGAAGUGAGACACGGUCCAGACUCCUACGGGAGGAAGCAGUGGGGAAUACUGGGCAAUGGGCGAGAGCCUGAUCCAGCAAUACCGCGUGGGUGAUGAAGGAGUUCGGGUUGUAAAGCCAUGUUGUUGGGAAAGAAAAGAAGCAGGUUAAUACCGCGCUGUUAUGACGGUACCCAAAGAAUAAGCACCGGCUAACUUCGUG
rnacentral:rRNA from 1 species